rnacentral:tRNA from 2 species
AUCACGGUGGCUUAAGGGUAGAGUACCCCGCUAGAGACGUGGGUGGUACGGGUUCGAAUCCCUCUGUGAUC